UACGUAGGGUGCAAGCGUUAAUCGGAAUUACUGGGCGUAAAGCGUGCGCAGGCGGUUUUAUAAGACAGAUGUGAAAUCCCCGGGCUCAACCUGGGAACUGCAUUUGUGACUGUAGAGCUGGAGUGCGGCAGAGGGGGAUGGAAUUCCGCGUGUAGCAGUGAAAUGCGUAGAUAUGCGGAGGAACACCGAUGGCGAAGGCAAUCCCCUGGGCCUGCACUGACGCUAAUGCACGAAAGCGUGGGGAGCAAGCAGG
rnacentral:rRNA from 1 species